rnacentral:lncRNA from 1 species
AGACGUCGGCAGGCUGGAGGUAGAAGGUGGAGUUGAGCAGCUCUUCCAGCCUGCGCGGAACGUCGUUCUCCCGGUAGUACUCCAUCGCCUGCUGCUUCAGCUUCUGCAGCUCCCUAGUGGUCCCACAGCUGCGGCCGCCGCCUUCUUCCUCCAUGAUGGAGAGUGUUGGCGUGUACGGAUUCUGUGGGUGUAAAGCAAAGAACAAAAUGAAGUGUGAUUCAAGGUGGGAAAUAGCCGCUUCAGCUCCCCCAGGCUGCAGCAGCUACCACACAAAGAAGCAGUCCUAUGGCAAUGACAGGACAUCUGUGUCCAGGAUUUGGAUUUGACGAACUGGCAGUUCCUGCAGGGAUGACGGUACUCCCUAGUUGUGUCUGAAUUGGACGCACCAGCACUUGAGCACACACAAACGCACGUGAACAGACGGAACAUGUUAUGGGCCUGUUAGCCAAGGAAUGACAGAAUUAAUCCAUGGGCAUUUGCGGCCAGUGUUGUGUUAAACUAAAGGGAAAAAGUGAACUGGAAAAAGCAAUGUUUGUUUUAUGAAAAUCUCAGACCCAAUCCUUAGGUGACAGUUCUGGAAAUGAGGGGUGUCUAAAACAAAGGGCAUCUGAAACUUCGGUUUUUCAGCUUCCUUUCCUUGUCUCAUGACCUCUUUCCUACCCGCUGCCUCUGUUUUCUCUAAUAUGGAACAGUGAAAAUGGGGGCCAGCAAAACAGAUUGCUGAUGUCUGUUGAUUUUAUCAAAGGAAGGUUAGAUUGAGUAAGAUGGCAUAAAUAAGCACACAUAGGACAAUACCUGGCAUAUAUCAGGUGCUCAAUAGCAGUGAAUUCUCUCCCUGCUGUCAUGAAUUCUUGAAGGUUGGAGACCAUGCGCUGUUCUGCGUGCCAAGUUAUUUUUUCGGCCUGAUAGCAGGUGAGCUACUGAGUGAAGACAGAGACUGGACGCUAAUUCAGCUCUGAAUCUUCAGCACCUGGCAUGGAAGGUGCACAGGACAUAUUUGAAAAAGGAGAAUUAAUAGAAUUGACCAAUAGGCUGACCUCCUGAAUGAUGACUGAGCAAAUUGAUCUAGAGGUAUUCAAAACAGUUUAGUUGACUGUCCCAAACUUUCUCAGACCUCUUCUGCCACUGACUUCCCUGAAAAGACCCUUUGCAGCCAGGCACGGUGGCUCAUGCCUGUAAUCCCAGCAUGUUGGGAGGCUGAGGUGGGCGGAUCACGAGGUCAAGAGAUUGAGACCAUCCUGGCCAACGUGGUGAAACCUCGUCUCUACUAAAAGUACAAAAAUUAGCUGGGUGUGGUGGCACGUGCUUGUAGUCCCAGCUAGUUGGGAGGCUGAGGCAGGAGAAUCGCUUGAACUGGGGAGGCGGAGGUUGUAGUGAACCAAGAUCAUGUCACUGCACUCCAGCCUGGCAAUAGAGCGAGACUCUGUCUCAAAAAAAAACCAAAAAAACAAAAUCAACCCUUUUGCAUUUUUGUCCUAUCCUGUUUUCCGUCCCCUUGAGACCGUAUCACACGUUCUUUUUCCUCUUUGGUGACCUUCUUUGUCUUUCUUGCUGCUCCUGUACACUGUUGUUUACUCACACUGCUUUUAUUCUGAGCUCUCAUAUCUCUUCUAUUUCUGGUUCUGACGCCUAUCUUGUCUAUGCCUCGCACACUCACCUCCGACUCGGAGUCCUGACCUGCACAGCUGCGAUUGCGGUUUGCACACUUUGAGGGUGAACAGUUGUCAUGCAGCCCUUUUGAGUGCUAAAAAGUGACCACUUAAGAUUUUCCUCGUGGUUAGGAAGAUGAGUAUUUUAAAAUCAUUCUGGAGGAGAUUAGUGGUAAAGAAAACCUUCCUCAGCAACUAAAUCAUUGUGGAAAAAUAAGCCAAUUAGUCACUAAAACAAAAACCUUUUGAAGACUUGUGAACAGAGGAAAGAACAUGUGAAUUACAGGUUUUCUGUUUUGUGGCAUUGAUAGACUCCAGUAGUAUUCAUGAUCGCUGAUCAUCGCGAUGGGGACCCCGGAAAGGUGAAAUUAUGUUCAGUUGAAUAUUACCUAACCCUUCUCAAAGGACAAUUUGAUUUUGUUAUUCCAUUGUUAAGGGCUUUUUGGUGGCCCUUCGAGAUCUGGCUCUGGCUUCUCUUUGACCUUGAACCCUCACUCUGGUUGUGCUGAUCUGCUGACCGUCCUCCGGACACGGUAGGGUGCUCCAUGCCACAGGGCCUUUGAACAAACCUUUCUUAUCCUUGGAAUAAAUGCCUUUUCUUCCUUUUGUUCCCCUGCCAAACACAUGCUAUUAGGAAAGAUUCAACCCCAUGUCAUCACCUCCACAAAGCUUCUCCUGACACCUCCCAAGUUAGAUUGACCUUUUUCUCUUUUGUGUCCCCCACUGUCGAACUUGAUGUUCUUGUCAAUGACAACAAUAGUGGUAACAAUGAUGGUUUCCUUUCAUUGAGUGCCUUUUGGUUCCAGUAAGUGUAAGUGCUUUCACUUGUUAUAUCAUUUAAGCCCUGCCACCCUAUGAAGAGGCCACUAUUAUACAUACAGUCAUGCAUUGCUUUAUGACAGGGAUAUGUUCUGAGAAAUGCAUUAUUAGGCAAUUUCAUCAUUGUGUGAACAUCAUAGAAUGUACUUCCACAAACCUAGAUGAUAUAGCCUGCCUCACAACUAAGCUAUUAUAUGCAGGACAGUCUGCUGCUAGCUGCUUCUAAGCUACAGACCAUAUAUAUGUAUAUAUGUACAUAUCCUCUCCCUGCCCCUCUUGCUCUUUAUAUAUAUAUGCAUAUACCUAUAAUAUAUGCAUAUUUAGAUAGGCUUUUAUAUGUAUAUUGUAUAUAUGUACAUAUAUACAUUUAUUUUUUGAGACAGGGUCUUGCUCUGUCUCCCAUGCUGGAGUGCAGUGGUAUGAUCACGGCUCACUGCAGCCAUGACCUCCCAGGCUCGAGGGAUCCUCCCAGCUCAGCCUCCCAAGUAGGUGGGACUACAGGCAUGCACCACCACAUCUGGCUAAUUUUUGAAUUUUUUUUUGUAGAGAUGGGGUUUCACCAUGUUGCCCGGUUCUCAAACUCCUAGGCUCGAGUAAUCCACCCAACUUUGCUCCCAAAGUGGUGGGAUUAUAGGUGUGAGCCACCGCAACCAGCCCAUAUAUGCAUAUUUAAUAUACAUGUGUAGCAUAUACAUACACAUAUACACAUCUAUGCAUAUAAAUUAACAAUAUGUAUAUAUGUGCAUAAAUUCACAUAUAUUUUCUGUAUAAAGACAGCAAGAGAGGCAGGCGGAGAAAGAAUCAGUUGCAGUCUGGAGGAAUAUACGUGUGUUACAUGGUUUCCCUGCCUUUAAAUUCUCUGUUAAUCUGUAUUCCUUGUAAAGUAGAUGACAGCAUGUAUCUUGGCCUACAUGUUUCUAAAGACAAACCUCUAAGCUCUUGAAGUUCUGCCAUGGUGUAUCAUAGUACAUUGAAGUCAGAAAGCCCAUUAGAGGAGGAGGAUGCCUGGCUAGAAUAGUGUUCUUGAGUUUUUCCAUGUGUAUUGUCUCAGGUAGGAAGAUGACAAGUCCUACUUUGUUCUUGUGUGAUUCCCCAUCAUUCAGUCUGUGGAGGCUGAGCUUGUUAAUGGUGGUGAACACGAGUUUCGUUCUUUGCCAGGAGUGCCCACCAGUGCCCAUAACGCCCUCCCGGAAUGUGCCGGGCAGUAUGUUUAGGGUAAGACUGACUAACGACCCAACACUGACAACGGCCUUAGCACAAACCCAAAAGGCUCUGCUAGAGCUCAGAGGCAGCCACGAGAUUGGGAGAGCUGGAUGACGGUUUGCUAAGAGAAUUCAAGCUGUCAGUCCUCCUGUGUAUCCUUUGGAUUCUGUUAUGCUGUUGCUUGUAGAGGGAAAAAGUUCAUGUGUCAUUUAUAUACAAGUGCCCAUUUGACAUUGAGUGAGUCACAUUUAUUUUACCCUAUAUGAACACAAAAUCUCUGUUUUAAAAUCAGAUUCUAGAACUUUAAAAGGGUUCUUAUGUAUUGUUCUGAAGUAACUCAGUGGCUCUUGGUGAGCCCGCCCCACCUGGCCUGUUGGGUGACCCUCUUCCUGCCCCCUCACCGGUUCUGCUCCUUGUUCCUCUCUCUGCGCCUUGGCUCCCCUUCCCAGAGCCCUUCCUCUUGGUCUUGCCAAAUCCUGCCCAUCCUUUGAGAAACGCUUAUGCCCAUGGCUGUCUUACCCCUUCCUGCUUUGCUGUGGUAUCCAUUAGUCUGUUCUCGCGCUGCUAAUAAAGACAUACAAAAGACUGGGUAAUUUAUAAAGGAAAGAGGUUUAAUGGACUCACAUUUCCACAUGGCUGGGGAGGCCUCACAAUCAUGGUGGAAGAUGAAGGAAGAGCAAAGGGACUUUUUAUGUGGCGGCAGGAAAGAGAGCUUGUGCAGGGAAACUCCCAUUUAUAAAACUGUCAGAUCUCAUGAGACUUAUUCACUACCAUGGGAACAGUAUGGGGGAAACUGCCCCCAUGAUUCAAUUAUCUCCACCUGGCCCUGCCCUUGACACGUGGGGGUUAUUACAAUUCAAGGUGAGAUUUGGGUGGGGACACAGCCAAAAUAUAUCUGGCAUAUGCAAUCUGAUCACCCCUUCCAAACUUCUCUCUUAAAAAUGCAACAUUCUGACAGCAUGUGGAGGCUUGGAUGGAAACACGGUAAAAAUUACAACAUUGUUUCUCACACUUUUGCACCAAAGUGAUACAAAUCGCAGAGCUGAGGCAACUGGUGUUUCUGCGAGAAUGGAAUGGAAUGUGGUUGAAAUUUUGUGUUGUUUUUUAAAUAUUUGCAACUAUUUGUCAUUCUUCCAUAAAAAUCAGAAUUCAUGGUUGUGUACAUAAAAGUAAUUUUCUAAAGUGUGCCUUUGUGUGUCCUUGAUGCAGGACCAGCUUGGACUUGUGACCUGUGCAGUCACACAAGGCCCUGCACGUGGUUUAAUGCUCCGCUGUCACCAUCUUGAAAUUCUUAAUACCUUGAACGAGGGGUCCUGUAUUUUUGUUUCAUGCUGGGCCCAGCAAAUUACAUAGGUGGUCCUCCCUUUGGGGUUCUGCAAGGCAACUAACUGUGAAGCAUGCAUCGAGUUACAGUUUUAAAUCUUAACAUGACUUCAUCUGUUAUGGCCUACCCAGGACAGUGCAGGAAGCUGGGUGCCCUUUAAGAAAGGAGUCUGGGCUGAAGGAGAUGGAGAGGUAGGAAGGGUUGGGGUCCUGAAUGCCAGCUUUGCCAGGGCCAUGCCUCGCAGCCAUGUCCUUCCUGCCUGUCUACCACAGGCCAGGAGGUGAACAGUCAUUCUGUAAUUCACAUGCAGUAAAGCUUUUUGAGAGUUCUGUUUUUCACCUGGAACUGCCAAGUCAUUUGGUGAAGAUUUCCUGCUUGUUUGAAGUCUGCAGAGAAAAACCGCUAAUGAAACAUACCACAUUUGGAAAUGAACUUUUUAAAGUAUGUAUCCAUAAGUUCUUAUUUCAGCUCUUCCUUUUAUUCUAUAAAUGCCUGUCUUAUUUCAAAAGGGACUUUCAGGCAGAGGUAUAACAACAUAAUAAGAACAAUACAUUUGAGAAACAGAACUGAAAAGAAACUAAGGCAAAGUCAGGGGUAAAAUUGGAUCACAAAUGCAUACCACGAGGUCUUACUGAAUUUAAAAUUUACAAAUGCCUGUAAGCUUCCCAGUCGCAGAACAAAGGAACACAAUUGGUCAUAUCUAUAUGCAGCAGGAGAAGGGUUGGGCGGACAGCAGCUCGCAACUUGGCUUCCACCGUCUGCCGCAGAGAAUUUAGAGGCGUCUUGGGAACAUGAGUGGGGCUAUCCAGGAAUCUGUUUACCUGAGGGACUAAGUCCUGUCCCUUGGACAUCCCCAAAUAGUCCAGAAUGAAGCUUUAUUUGGAGAAGAGGGGCAGUUCGGAGCACUUCAUGACGUCUUGUCACCCAGUUUGUCCCACAUCUGCCUUCAAACUGAGUGGGACUUGAGCAAACAACACCCAGAGCUUCACUCUUCCCCACCACUGCGCUGGCCCUGCGGUGUUGUGAGUUGGUGGCUCCAGUGACAUGGCAGUGGCGGUGAGCCUGGCGCUGGCAGUGUUGGUGACACUCACGUGGUGGUGGUGGCACCAGCACUGGCGGUGUCUGUACCAGCAGGAGAGGUAGCACCGACACCUCCAAAGUGGAUGCAGCAGCAUCACAGUGGCUACAGGUGCCAAUCGGCUGUAGUAGGUGUGGAGGCAGUGGCUGGGAGUGGCUCGCAGCAAGGGCGAGCUCUCUGGACAACUCCAUGGGUGACAGAAGCCUGGACACGGGAGACCUUGGGGAGCCUUAUCCAAGGAGGUGCUUGAGGCUCCCCCUUGAGGAAGACCUCUCCAUUGGUGGGGGAAUUUGGAGCCAAAGAAAGCUCCUUAUGUUGUCAAAAUGUCCCUUUUUUAACCUUAGGAUAUUGUGACCCCUGAAGGUAUUAAUGAUAUUCUAGAGCAUUUGAAAGACAACAGCCAACUAGCUGGUUAAGCGCAGCUCAGUUUUUCCCCAGUGUGUGUGGGUGGCUGAGCACACAUUCAUUAAUUCAGUGAUUCAUUCAGCCAACAUCUGCGGAACCCCUGCUGGCUUCUGGAGUCAGAUUGCGGGGAUCUGAAUCGGGCUUGCCACUUACUAGUCUAUGACCUCGAGCAAAUGACGUGAUUCCUCUAAUACCCAGUUUCCCCAUCUGUAAUAUGAAAUGUGAAUACUAAGUAUCCGCCUCAUUGGGUUUUAGGAGAAUCAAAUGCAUGUCAAGUGUUUAACAUGGUGCCUGGCACAGAUUAAACAUCCAAGAAGUGUGAGUUAUGAUUAAAGGCUGUGAAAUGUACAAAGAGCCACAUAGUCCCCCAUUCAUUCAAGCAUUUUCUGUCCAUAUAAGGAAAUGCUACAUAGCCCAACUCCAGAAGGCUACACAUUAACUGGGGGUAUCACACAGUAGAGAAAUUAUGGGUGAUUUGAUUUGAUUAUUUAUCUGCUUUUUAGGAAUUUUCCAGUGUAUGUGAACUGUUUGUGAGAUCUUAAAACAGAAAGAAAAGCAACCCCAUUUGCCCUUCCCUUUGGUACUUCUGUGACACCCGUGUCGUCCAUCAGUUCCCAUGCAGGCAGGGGCGGUGACACUCACGCAUCUGUAGAUGGCUCAGACUCUCAGAAACUUCUUUCUUAGAGGAUCUGCUUGUAGUUUCUGGCUUUUACGUUUCAUUCAUUAUUCAUUCAUUCGUUCAUUCAAGAAAUACUUAUUAAGCACCUCUUGUCUGCCAGGCACAUUGAUAAGUUCUGGUGAGUGAAAGCCAAUGGCUCCCUUGAAGGAGCUGGUAAUUUAUCAGGGUUCUCAGACUGUCAUCCAAUAAUUAAAUAAAUAUGUCACGACAGAUGGAAGUGAGAUGAAGGCAAGGAACUUGGUGCUGUGAAGGUGGACAGCAGAGAUGAAGGUGGAGGGAGGCGGGGGAGGCUUCCCUGGGAGGUGACGGGAAAGCUGAGCUGUGAAGGUGCAUAGGAGUUAUUGGGUGUGUGUGGGGGUGGGGCAUGUGCGGUCCAGACAGAGGAGCAGAGUCGACUUCGGGGCCACACAGAGAAUGGAAUUCCCUUUCCAUGUGACAGCCCUUCACACAUCUGUAGGUGGCUUCUCCCCGGAAGCCUUUCUGUUGUAUUCCUGCCUUCUUCAGCUUUUCUGCCUAGGAUGUGGUUUCACAGCCUGUUUUCAUUCUGAGAUCCAGUUUGUUCGUAUCCUUCUUUUUCGAUAACAAUUUUAUUGAGCUAUAAUCCACAUGCAGUACAAUUCACUCAAAGUGUAUAAUUCAAUGAUUUUUAAUAUAUCACAGAAUUGUGCAACCAUCACCAUGAUCAAUUUUAGAACAUUUUCAUCACCCCAAAAAGAAACCCUUAUACCCAUUAGCAGCAGCCACUCCUCGUUUCCCCCACCAAUCCCAGCCCUGGGAAACCAUUAGUUGCUUUUGGUCACUAUAGAUACACCUGUUCUGGGCAUUUUUUAUAAAUGGAAUCAUACAGGAUGCAUUCUUUUGUUUAACUGCUUCUUUCGUUUAGCAUAAUGUUUUUAAGGUUCAUCCAUGUUGUAGCAUGUAUCAGUACUUUGUUUGUUUGUUUGUUUUUGAGACAGAGUCUCACUCUGUCACCCAGGCUGGAGUGCAGUAGCACCAUCUAGUCUCACUGCAACCUCUGCCUCCCAGGUUCAAGCAGUUCUCCUGCCUCAGCCUCCCAAGUAGCUGAGACUACAGGCACGAGCCACCAUGCCCUGGUAAUUUUUUGUAUUUUUAGUAGAGAUGGGGUUUCACCAUGUUGGCCAGGCUGGUCUUGAACUCCUGAGCUCAAGUGAUCCUCCCAUCUAGGCCUCCCAAGGUGCUGGGAUUACAGGCAUAAGCCACCACGCCCGGCCACUUCAUUUUUUUUUUAAAUUUACUUAUUUUUUUUUUUUUUGAGACAAGGUCUCACCCUGCCACCCAGACUAGAGUAGAGUGGUGCAAUCACAGCUCGCUGCAGCUUCGGCCUCCCAGGCCCAAGUGAUUCCCCCACCACAGCCCCCCAGUAGCUAGGACUACAGGCGUGCACCACCACACCCGGUUAAUUUUUGUAUUUCUUCUAGAGAUGGGGUUUUGCCAUGUUGCCCGGGCUGAUCUCAAACUCCUAGGCUCAAAUGAUCUGCCUGCCUCGGCCUUCCAAAGUGCUGGGAUUAGCCGGGUACUGUGGCUUAUGCCUGUAAUCCCAGCACUUUGGGAGGCUGAGGCAGGCAGAUCACAAGUUCAGGAGAUCAAGACCAUCCUGGCCAACAUGGUGAAACCCCAUCUCUACUAAAAAUACAAAAAUUAGCCGGGUGUGGCGGUGCGCAUCUAUAGUCCCAGCUACUCAGGAGGCUGAGGCAGGAGAAUUGCUUGAACCGGCAGGCGGAGCCUGCAGUGAGCCGAGAUCAUGCGACUGCACUCCAGCCUGGGUGACAGAGCAAGACUCCAUCUCAAAAUAAACAAACAAACAAACAAAACACUAAGUGGUGGGAUUACAGGCGUGAGCCACUGAGCCCAACCAGUCCUUCACUUUUCAUUGCUGGAUAAUGAUAAUAUUCCAUUGUAUGGAUAGAACAUGGUUUGUUUGUCCAUUAGUCAGUUGAUGGAUGUUUGGGUUGUUUUCAUUUUGGGGCUAUUAUGAAUAAUGUUGAUAUGGACCAGUUUGUGUGUGGAUGUAUUUUUUCGCUUCUCUUGGGUAUAUCUUAGGAAUGGAAUUGCUAGGGCAUAUGGUAACUCUAUAUUUAACCUUUUGAGGAACUGCUAAACUGUUUUCCACAGUGGGUACACAUUUUGUAUUCCUACCAACAGUGUAUGAGGCUUCUUAUUUCUCCACAUCAUUUCCAACACUUUGCAUUAUCUGUCUUUUUGAUUAUAGUCAUCCUUCUGGGUGUGAAGUGGCAUUUCAUUGUGUUUUGAUUGGCAUUUCACUUAUACCUUAUGAUGCUGGCAUCUUUUCAGAUACUUAGUGGACAUUUGUAUACAUCUUCUUUGUAGAUAUAUCUGUUCAGGUUCUUUGUCCAUUUUUAAAUUGGGUUAUGUCUUUUUAUUAUUGAUUUGUAAGAGUUCUUUAUAUAUUUUAGAUAUAACUCCCUUAUCAGAUGUAUUAUUUGCAAAUAUUUUUUCCCAUUCUGUGUGUUGCCUUUUCACCUUCUUGAUGAUGUCCUUCAAAGCAUGAAGGUUUUUAAUUUUUAUUAAGUCCAGUUUAGCCAUAUUUUUCUUGUUGCAUGUGGUUUUGGUGGCAUAUCUAAGAAGCCAUUGCUAACAUAAGGCCACAAAGACUUAUAUCUGUAUUUUCUUCUUUCCUCUCAUAAGAGUUUUAUGGUUUUACCUCUUAACGUUUCGGCUUUUUGUGCAUUUAGAAUUCAUUUUUGUAUAUGGUGUGAUGUAGGGGUUCACCUUCCUUGUUUUACAUGAUAUCCAGUUGUCCCAGCACCAUUAGUGAAAAGACUAUUAUUUCCCCACUAAAUUGUCUUCACCCCCUUGUCAAAAAGCAAUUGACUAUACAUGUGAGGGUUUAUUUCUGGACUCUGAAAUUCUAUUCCAUUGAUCUGUCUGUCUAGCCCUAUACAAGUACCACACUAUCUUGAUCACUGUGGUUUUGUAUUGAGUUUUGAAAUUAGAAAGUGUGAGUCCUCCAACUUUGUUCUUCUUUUUCAAAAUUGUUUUGUUUAUUCUGUGUCCCUUGCAUUUCUUUGUGAAUGCAGGGAUCAUGUUGAGACUGUAGAUCAUUUGGGGGGGCAUUGCCAUUUUAAUGGUAUUAAAAAUCUUCUCAUCCAUGAACCUGGAUUACCUAUGUCUUCUUUAAUGUCUUUCAACAGUGUUUUAUAGUUUUCAGAGAAUAAAUUUUUCACUGCUUUUGUUAAAUGCAUUCCUAAAUAUUUUAUUCUUGUGAUGCUAUUGUAAAGGGAAUUGUUUUCUUAAUUUUAUUUUUGGAUUGUUCAUUUCACAUCCCUUUUAAAACGUGGUCCCUGGAACCAUCAGAUUAGCACUGAAGACAGUGGAUGUUCACUUCAAACUUGUGGAUAUGAUUCUGUACUCUAACCUCAGACAAAGUUAAGCUUUUUGUGGAAGAGCCAGUUGUUCUCUUAUCAUGAGAGAAUUAACCUCAGAUGGAGAAGCUGAGGAUCACCGAAGGGAAGGUCAGACAUAAGACUGACCCAAUGGCAGGUUCUGGUGUUUCUGAGCUGUAAAGGGCAUAGUCCCUACACUGUGGGAGCUCCCAUCUGACAGGGAAGGUUGACAGGUGAGUCCAGCCCACUGUGGUAGAUGGUGACUUGCCGUGCCACUCCCUGAGGUCCAGGCUUUCCUCUCAUGCAGUCAGGAUGGCAAGUGACACGGGUGGAUCAGCGUGGAGCCACAAACCAGUCAACAGAUAAUGAUUUCACAUCUAUCAUAUGCUGAGCACAGUUCUACACAUUAUGCAGCACUGGAUAAAAGUACAAAUCCCUGCCCUCAUGGGGCUUCCAUUCUAAUGUAUGUAUGUGUGUAUGUGUGCAAAUCUGAAUAUGUUAAAUGAUAAAUGGUAUAGAGAAAAAAUAAAGCUGGAUGGGGAAUAAAGAAUGAUGGGCUAGAAAUGAGGUUGGAAUUUAAAAUAGGGGUUCUGGGGAGGCCUCCUGAGAAGGUGGCAUCUGAGCAGCAGCCUGAGGGAAGGUGGGUCAUCAAGCCAUGUGGCUGUCCAAUGGAGGAGCAUCCCAGGCCGAAGGAAGGGCUGUGCUAAGGUCCUGAGGUAGGAGGUGCCUUGUGUGUUAGAGCAAGGAGGCCACUUAGCUGGGAGAUGAGGCCACGUAGGGCCUUAUAGGGCCUGGCAAGGACUCCAGCUUCUCCUCUGAGGUGGGAAGCCAGGGUCUUGAGAGGGAGAGUGACACGAUCUUACAUUCUGUACUUAUAUUUUUGAAAGAUCCCAAAGGUCAUGUUGGGAAUAGACUUUGGUAGGAAGUGGGGUGGCAAGAGGAGAGGCAGCAAUUAUGAUGAUGUAGGUGGAGAUGGAACAGAUGUGAAUUUAGAGGAGAAGGUGGAGGGGUGAGAAGCAGACAGAUUUUGCAGGGGUGCAGGGGGAGGCCAUAGGAUUUCUGGGGACUGGAUAUAGUUGUGAAAAAGAGAGGAGUAAGGAUGAUGCUGGCAUUUUGAAGGGUGGAGUCACCAAUAUGAUGUGCCAGCAACUGGAGGAGGAGGAGUGGGUUUGGGGUGGAACCUGCUGAUUUGGAGAUCAGGUGUUUGGGGGUCUGUUUAUUAGAGUUACCUGUUAGACUGCAAGUGGAGAUAUGGUGAGCUCCGACUAGAAAUGUCAACGUGGACUCAUUAGCAUAUAGUUGGUACUGAACACCAAGAAAGCGGAAGAGAUCCCCCAAGGAAAGAGUGUAGAUGGGAAUGAGAGGUCUGAGGACUAAAGCCUGGGGCAUUGUCACAUUCAGAGCCACAGCAAUGAGGUGCAACCAGUGAAAAAGUCUGAAAUGCUGUGCCGGGAAUGAACAAGACAAGCAGGAGGAUGUGGUGUCCUGGAAAGCAAAUGAAGAGGAGAGGGUGGUGACUGGCCACGUCUGAUGAGGGCUGAGAACUGAUGCAAAGUCAUGGUCAUGUGACCAUACCAUUGGUGGAAACAGCAGGCAGGUAACACUCCUGGCUUCCUCCCACAG